UGGGGAAUAUUGCACAAUGGGCGCAAGCCUGAUGCAGCCAUGCCGCGUGUGUGAAGAAGGCCUUCGGGUUGUAAAGCGCUUUCAGCGAGGAGGAAGGUGGUGGACUUAAUACGUUCAUCAAUUGACGUUACUCGCAGAAGAAGCACCGGCUAACUCCGUGCCAGCAGCCGCGGUAAUACGGAGGGUGCAAGCGUUAAUCGGAAUUACUGGGCGUAAAGCGCACGCAGGCGGUUUGUUAAGUCAGAUGUGAAAUCCCCGGGCUCAACCUGGGAACUGCAUUUGAAACUGGCAAGCUAGAGUCUCGUAGAGGGGGGUAGAAUUCCAGGUGUAGCGGUGAAAUGCGUAGAGAUCUGGAGGAAUACCGGUGGCGAAGGCGGCCCCCUGGANGAAGACUGACGCUCAGGUGCGAAAGCGUGGGGAGCAAACAGAUUAGNUACCCUGGUAGUCCACGCUGUAAACGAUGUCGAUUUUGGAGGUUGUGCCCCUGAGGCGNGGNUUCCGGAGCUAACGNGUUAAAUGACGCC
rnacentral:rRNA from 1 species